AUGAGGAAGAAGGGAUCAGAGAAGCGCCCCAGCCCGUCCUGCCCGUCGGACACCUGUGUGACUGCGGCUCCAAGCCGGAAGGGGCGGGUGUACGGCCGCGGCCACAGCAAGGGAGGAAGCGGUGCGGUGGAUGGAGCUCCUGCGCGGAGUGCCGGUGCGGGUGUGGGUGCGCGGUCCGUCCUGCCCUGGGGAGCCACACCUGACCUCUGCCUGCAGCCUUCAGAGGGAGCGGGUCCUACAGCUGGUCUUCGGGUCGGGAGGCCGAGUGCUGCUCCGUGCUUUUGUUUUAUUAUUCUAGAAUAUUUUUUUACAAGAAGUGUUAUUUUUCAACAGGUCCGCAGAUCCGUCCUUGCGUGGCGAGUCAGAGCGGCCCGGGGCAGGGACGCUGUGAGGCGCUCGUGUCGUACCCACUCCUUUCCAGUCGCUCCUCGGGGCUGCGCGCUGGCUUCGUGCUGGGUUUUAGAGGUGUUUUUAACUUACAUGAUGAUGUGACCGGCGAGCCCCUUCUGCGUGGGUAAAGCGGGAAGCUGGAUCCUCCACUUAGAGUCCUGCAGGUGUGAUGAGUGAAAGAUUGUUUCAGGAACCAGCUCCUGGCUCCGGCAGCAGUGCCAGGCGGCCCCGCCCCGCGUCGCUCUGCCUUCCCCGGGCUGUCGGCUCACCUCCAGCGUCUCCCCCGAUUCGGUGGCUGUGUCACUGAAGACCCUCGUGCACCUGCUCCAGCCUGUGGGCGUUCCCUCUCCCUGCGGGGUUGGACCUGGGUUUUGUGGAUUAAGAUUCACACACUUCUAGGAGACAAAUGACAAUAGUAGGAUACCAAUACAAUGGAUACUUAAAGUGGAAAAAAUCAACAUCACAAAGGUUGAUCAUCUAAUACCAUAAGCAUCAUAAAAAUCAAAAAAGUAUGCUGUUUGUAUUAACUCUCUUCUCUGGUUUUAUCAAGUGAUCCCCGAUAGAUACACUAUUCCCCUUUGAAUCUUUUGGCUUCAUAUGCUUGGAUUGCAUGUUGAAAAGCCAUUGGAUUCAGUCAUUUCUAUAAUGGGUUGUGUUAGUCUGCUUUUGGUCACUUUAACUAAAACACCCGAGGAGUUUCUCUGGACAAGAAGAGGUUUAUUUCAGCUGACAGCUGGAGUUAGGGGACCUGGUGGCUCCUAGGCCGGCAUCUGGCGGGGGCUGCUUGUGAGUGUGGAGGCAGAUUGACGUGGUGGGCCAGGAAGCAGAGAGAGAGAACCUAGGCUGAACUUGAACUUGACACUCAGACCUUUGGUGGUUGCCAGCCUCGGAGGGCACGCCCCCAGGGACCCGCAGAUCUCCCAUCAGCCCCGCCUCUCAGACAUCAUCGUUAGGGGAGGUCCCCACCAUGAACAUCAGGAUGUCAGAGUUGAAACAGGUGCCGGAGUUCUGGGGAGAGAAAUUCCCGCUCAACCUGGACCAGGGGACCGGACGGAUGGUUCAGACCGCAGCUUUAUUCGGUUCCUUAAAAACGGUUGCUCCU
rnacentral:lncRNA from 1 species